rnacentral:rRNA from 1 species
UUGCCUACGGGGGGCAGCAGUGGGGAAUAUUGGGCAAUGGGCGCAAGCCUGACCCAGCAACGCCGCGUGAAGGAAGAAGGCUUUCGGGUUGUAAACUUCUUUUGUCAGGGACGAAGCAAGUGACGGUACCUGACGAAUAAGCCACGGCUAACUACGUGCCAGCAGCCGCGGUAAUACGUAGGUGGCAAGCGUUAUCCGGAUUUAUUGGGUGUAAAGGGUGCGUAGACGGGAAAACAAGUUAGUUGUGAAAUCCCUCAGCUUAACUGAGGAACUGCAACUAAAACUAUUUUUCUUGAGUGCUGGAG